CUCCUUUUUAAAGAUUUUGGUGGUCCUUAAAAGGACCGUUAAUUUUGUCUGUAUCUUUUUCAGCAGUAGAUGAAUGCAGCUAUAUCUUCCUUGAUUUUGGUACUUUUGAAGAACAACUUCUGGUUGGUUAACUUGUUUGGACCCAAGUACAUGGAUCUCCUAUGAGCCACCAACAGUUUGAGUGUCCACCACCACACACGUAUGAACUAGUGGGACAUUUAGAGCAGUCACAAGUAUAACAACGCACAGUAGCAUUAAGCAUUCAGGCAGAUCCAGGAUUUCCCCCGACAUUUGUUAAACUGUAGGAGGUGCCGUCUUGACUGGUUUUAGCUACAAGUGAGAACUUCUCUGCAUCUAGCCUUUUCCAUUGUAUAUUAAAUGAACUUAGCUGACUGUUUGAAGACUAAGUCUCAUGAUUUAUACCCUUGUUAUGGGGUAUGCUUCUUUGCAUAUGUAAUUCUUAUAAGAUUUUUUUUUUAAUUAAAAAAAUAAUUAUAAUUAUUUUUUUUUCAGCAGAAUUUUUUUUUUAACUAGAUUUCCAUAUCAAAAAUGAAUUCAUCUACCAUGUGCAAUUUACAGAAUGUAAAUAUCUUUUAAAAUAAAAAAGUUUUGCUGAU